rnacentral:lncRNA from 1 species
CAUUGCCUAGGGUGGUAUCUUCUGCACUGUGUAAUAUAGCCAGGUACAUGGCCACAGCUGGGUGCCCUCUGAGUCCCACAGAAGGAGCUCCUGUAGACUGGAAAAAGGACUCUGGAGUAUGUCCGUGACACCUGUGGUGAGUGGAUGUGGUUGACUUCAGCAGCUCUGAAAGCUCCAAGCUAAAGCUUGAGAGCUGAGCUUGGCACCAAGAAGACCUGUCUGCAGCUGAGCAGAGGAGCAUCAGCACUCCUCUGGUCAGAAUCAAGUAGAAAUAGCUCUGCAGAACUGACAGACUUGGUUCUAAAAUUGAACGCUGUAAUCAGUGAUAAUGAAGGUAAAAGGAACAGAGUGACUGGUGAAUUAAAUCUGUGUGUGGGUGAUUGUGAAACCUUAUGCUGAACCCUAAGAAACAGAGAAAACUCAUUUUUGCAGGCAUCUGCCUCUUGGGAAUUUACAGACUAAUGUAUUUAAUAUUUGAAAGGUAGUACCUCUAAUAUUAUCACUUCAGCUUUGUGCACCGAAGUACUGGGUUAAAAUAGUGCUUCAGAGGAAACUAUUUUAUGUCCAAGGGAAACUUGGUCUUGGG